CCUACGGGUGGCAGCAGUGGGGAAUAUUGGGCAAUGGGCGCAAGCCUGACCCAGCAACGCCGCGUGAAGGAAGAAGGCUUUCGGGUUGUAAACUUCUUUUCUCAGGGACGAAGCAAGUGACGGUACCUGAGGAAUAAGCCACGGCCAACUACGUGCCAGCAGCCGCGGUAAUACGGAGGUGGCAAGCGUUAUUCGGAUUUACGGGGUGUAAAGGGCGUGUAGGCGGGAAAGCAAGUCAGAUGUGAAAACCAUGGGCUCAACCUGUGGCGUGCAUUUGAAACUGUUUUUCUUGAGUACUGGAGAGGCAGACGGAAUUCCUAGUGUAGCGGUGAAAUGCUUAGAUAUUAGGAGGAACACCAGUGGCGAAGGCGGUCUGCUGGACAGCAACUGACGCUGAGGCGCGAAAGCGUGGGGAGCAAACAGGAUUAGAUACCCGAGUAGUC
rnacentral:rRNA from 1 species